AGAGUUUGAUCCUGGCUCAGAACGAACGCUGGCGGCGUGCUUAACACAUGCAAGUCGAACGGGAAAGCUCUCUUCGGGGAGCAAGUACAGUGGCGAACGGGUGAGUAACACGUGAGUAACCUACCCCCUGGAGCGGAACAACCAUCCGAAAGGAAGGCUAAUACCGCAUGAUGUUGCCUUGAUCAGUUUCUUGGCAACCAAAAGAGGGCCUCUUUACAAUGCUUUCGCCGGGGGAUGGGCUCGCGGCCUAUUAGCUUGUUGGUGAGGUAACGGCUCACCAAGGCAAUGAUGGGUAGCCGGCCUAAGAGGGUGAUCGGCCACACUGGGACUGCGACACGGCCCAGACUCCUACGGGAGGCAGCAGUGAGGAAUUUUGCGCAAUGGGCGAAAGCCUGACGCAGCAACGCCGCGUGAGUGAUGAAGCUCUUUGGAGUGUAAAGCUCUGUCAGUGGGGAAUAAAAGGGUGUUUAUGAACAAUAAGCAUUCUUGACGGUACCCACAGAGGAAGCCCCGGCUAACUCCGUGCCAGCAGCCGCGGUAAUACGGAGGGGGCAAGCGUUGUUCGGAAUUACUGGGCGUAAAGGGCGCGUAGGUGGUUUGGCAAGUCGUCCGUUUAAUCCCUCGGCUUAACCGAGGUUCUGCGGUCGAUACUGCCUGACUUGAGUACGGGAGAGGAGAGUGGAAUUCCAUGUGUAGCGGUGAAAUGCGCAGAUAUAUGGAGGAACACCCGUGGCGAAGGCGGCUCUCUGGACCGAUACUGACACUGAGGCGCGAAAGCGUGGGGGAGCAAACGGGAUUAG
rnacentral:rRNA from 1 species